rnacentral:rRNA from 1 species
GAUGAACGCUGGCGGCGUGCCUAAUACAUGCAAGUAGAACGCUGAAGGAGGAGCUUGCUCUUCUGGAUGAGUUGCGAACGGGUGAGUAACGCGUAGGUAACCUGCCUGGUAGCGGGGGAUAACUAUUGGUAACGAUAGCUAAUACCGCAUGACAACAGUUAUUGCAUGAUAACUGUUUAAAAGGGGCAACUGCUCCACUACCAGAUGGACCUGCGUUGUAUUAGCUAGUUGGUGAGGUAACGGCUCACCAAGGCGACGAUACAUAGCCGACCUGAGAGGGUGAUCGGCCACACUGGGACUGAGACACGGCCCAGACUCCUACGGGAGGCAGCAGUAGGGAAUCUUCGGCAAUGGACGGAAGUCUGACCGAGCAACGCCGCGUGAGUGAAGAAGGUUUUCGGAUCGUAAAGCUCUGUUGUAAGAGAAGAACGAGUGUGAGAGUGGAAAGUUCACACUGUGACGGUAUCUUACCAGAAAGGGACGGCUAACUACGUG